GAUGAACGCUGGCGGCGUGCCUAAUACAUGCAAGUCGAGCGAACGGACGAGAAGCUUGCUUUUCUGAUGUUAGCGGCGGACGGGUGAGUAACACGUGGAUAACCUACCUAUAAGACUGGGAUAACUUCGGGAAACCGGAGCUAAUACCGGAUAAUAUUUUGAACCGCAUUGUUCAAAAGUGAAAGACGGUCUUGCUGUCACUUAUAGAUGGAUCCGCGCUGCAUUAGCUAGUUGGUAAGGUAACGGCUUACCAAGGCAACGAUGCAUAGCCGACCUAAGAGGGUGAUCGGCCACACUGGAACUGGGACACGGUCCAAACUCCUACGGGAGGCAGCAGUAGGGAAUCUUCCGCAAUGGGCGAAAGCCUGACGGAGCAACGCCGCGUGAGUGAUGAAGGUCUUCGGAUCGUAAAACUCUGUUAUUAGGGAAGAACAUAUGUGUAAGUAACUGUGCACAUCUUGACGGUACCUAAUCAGAAAGCCACGGCUAACUACGUG
rnacentral:rRNA from 1 species